CUGGGCUCUCUGUGAGUGAGAGACGCUUGGCAGCAGGGAGCUGGAGAGAAGCCCCCAGCAACUUUGGACAGAGUCGCUCGUGGAACAGACUGGCUCAUCCUGGGAAGCCCUUUAAAGAGCCUCAGAUUACAUGGAUUAGGUGAAGCCCAACCAGAAGCUGAACUAUGGUUGUGAGGAUUACCCCAAGCUUCUUCACUUCAAGUCAGUUUCCCUCCUGUGCGCGGCCAGGAGAACACAGAAACCAGACUCCCCUUGUGCAUAUCCUUCCUCAGCCUCAUUGCCCAUGCUGCCCACAGAAGUGAGUUAAAAACAAACCCUGAACCUACAAAUGCUCAGCAUGGAGGGAUCCCUGCACCUAUGAGGAGACCUACUGACGUCAAUGUAAUUUCACACAGGUGCUGGAUGCAGGAUACAAGACUUCAUGGGCCAAUGCUCUGAUGUGGAAGCAAGAAAGACUGACUGGAGAGGAUAAAAAAUGAACUGAAAUUGCAAGGGAAAUUUUUCAGCAUGCUCUUGUAAGCUGGAUGACAAUGUUUGGUUAACUUGAACAAAAACACCAUGUUUAAGAUCCUAGCUUCCAUAUGCACUCAUAAAAACUACAUAUUGCACAGGCAGAAACCUGGAACACCUGUGACUUUAAAGAUCACUCUGGAAGACAUGAACAUGUUUGCGGUUGCAAUGAAUUUGGUAAUAAUUAGAUGUGCCAGGGAACUUUUUAGUGCCUUUUUAGGAAACUACAA